GGUAGCAGGUCCUUCGGGAUGCUGACGAGUGGCGAACGGGUGAGUAAUGUAUCGGAACGUGUCUGGUAGUGGGGGAUAACACAUCGAAAGAUGUGCUAAUACCGCAUACGACCUUAGGGUGAAAGCAGGGGACCUUUCGGGGCCUUGCGCUAUUGGGGUGGCCGAUAUCGGAUUAGCUUGUUGGUGGGGUAAAGGCCUACCAAGGCGAUGAUCCGUAGCUGGUUUGAGAGGACGACCAGCCACACUGGGACUGAGACACGGCCCAGACUCCUACGGGAGGCAGCAGUGGGGAAUUUUGGACAAUGGGGGCAACCCUGAUCCAGCCAUUUCGCGUGUGUGAUGAAGGCCUUCGGGUUGUAAAGCACUUUUGGCGGGGAAGAAACGGCGGGCUCUAAUACAGCUUGCUAAUGACGGUACCCGCAGAAUAAGCACCGGCUAACUACGUGCCAGCAGCCGCGGUAACACGUAGGGUGCGAGCGUUAAUCGGAAUUACUGGGCGUAAAGGGUGCGCAGGCGGUUUGGCAAGAGAGAUGUGAAAUCCCGGGGCUUAACCUCGGAACUGCAUUUUUAACUGCCAGACUAGAGUGUGUCAGAGGGGGGUGGAAUUCCGCGUGUAGCAGUGAAAUGCGUAGAGAUGCGGAGGAACACCGAUGGCGAA
rnacentral:rRNA from 1 species